CUUCCUUAUAGUUAAUAGUACAUACUUCUCUGACAUUAAAAGAUAAGCAUUUGAAUAAAGACGGGACAGGAACAUCUUGAGGUCGAGCGAGGUCAUACAUCAUGUAGAAGGGAGGCCUCUCAGAGCAUGUUACAGAAUACAUCUACCAAGGUCAGCAUAAUUAUUUCAAACAUUGUUUUAAAGCAUAUAAAGCAAAAAGAGUUUAACUAUUUCAUAUCCUCACAGUCAGCACUAAUGAUUAUAAACCUUAUCUAAGCAUAAAAUACAUAUGAACAAGAAAAGUUAACUACUUCAUAUCCGUUCAGUAAAGGGUUAAAUCAUACUUUAGGAUGCAUAUAGUUGGUUUAACUAUCAGCAUGUGGGACAGCUUAGGUUUUCAACUCCCUGCUAUGUCAUCCUAUCAAGGGCCUCAUUCCAUUUUACAUUCAAAUUUAACUUGUUCUCUUAUUUGGG